GACGAACGCUGGCGGCGUGCUUAACACAUGCAAGUCGAACGGAAAGGCCCUGCUUGUGUUGGGUGCUCGAGUGGCGAACGGGUGAGUAACACGUGAGUGACCUGCCCUGGACGUUGGGAUAACGUCAGGAAACUGGGGCUAAUACCGGAUAGGAGCUCCUGCUGCAGGGUGGGGGUUGGAAAGUGUCGGCGGGUGGGGAUGGACUCGCGGCUUAUCAGCUUGUUGGGUGGGUAGUGGCUUACCAAGGCUUCGAGCCGUAGCCGGUCUGAGAGGGCGACCGGCCACACUGGAACGGGGACACGGCCCAGACUCCUACGGGGGGCAGCAGUGGGGAAUUGUGGGCAAAGGGGGCAACCCUUAUCCAGCCAUGCCGCGUGCGGGAAGAAGGCCUUCGGGUUGUAAAGCGCUUUUGUUCGGGAAGAAAUCCUCUGGGCUAAUACCCCGGGGGGAUGACGGUACCGGAAGAAUAAGCACCGGCUAACUACGUG
rnacentral:rRNA from 1 species